GACGAACGCUGGCGGCGUGCUUAACACAUGCAAGUCGAACGGUAAGGCCCUUCGGGGUACACGAGUGGCGAACGGGUGAGUAACACGUGGGUGAUCUGCCCUGCACUUCGGGAUAAGCCUGGGAAACUGGGUCUAAUACCGGAUAGGACUCCGGACUGCAUGGUCUGGGGUGGAAAGCUUUUGCGGUGUGGGAUGGGCCCGCGGCCUAUCAGCUUGUUGGUGGGGUGAUGGCCUACCAAGGCGACGACGGGUAGCCGGCCUGAGAGGGUGACCGGCCACACUGGGACUGAGAUACGGCCCAGACACCUACGGGAGGCAGCAGUGGGGAAUAUUGCACAAUGGGCGCAAGCCUGAUGCAGCGACGCCGCGUGAGGGAUGAAGGCCUUCGGGUAGUAAACCUCUUUCAGCAGGGAAUAAGCGAAAGUGAAGGUACCUGCAGAAGAAGCACCGGCUAACUAUGUGCCAGCCGCCGCGGUAA
rnacentral:rRNA from 1 species